ACGGGAGGCAGCAGUAGGGAAUUUUCGGCAAUGGGCGAAAGCCUGACCGAGCAACGCCGCGUGAAGGAAGAAGUCAUUCGUGAUGUAAACUUCUGUUAUAAAGGAAGAACGGCGCCUGUAGGGAAUGACAGGCGAGUGACGGUACUUUAUGAGGAAGCCACGGCUAACUACGUGCCAGCAGCCGCGGUAAUACGUAGGUGGCGAGCGUUAUCCGGAAUCAUUGGGCGUAAAGAGGGAGCAGGCGGCAGUGCAGGUCUGCGGUGAAAGCCCGAAGCUAAACUUCGGUAAGCCGUGGAAACCGCACAGCUAGAGAGCAUCAGAGGAUCGCGGAAUUCCAUGUGUAGCGGUGAAAUGCGUAGAUAUAUGGAGGAACACCAGUGGCGAAGGCGGCGGUCUGGGGUGCAGCUGACGCUCAGUCCCGAAAGCGUGGGGAGCAAAUAGGAUUAGAUACCCUGGUA
rnacentral:rRNA from 1 species